rnacentral:snoRNA from 1 species
CCACUAUAGAUGCAAGAAAAAUGUUCUUGCACUUUCUGUCUGCCUGAUCAUGGCAGCCAAGAUUGAAUAGAGGAAUAUAGGA